CUUGAGUCAGUUCAGUAUCGAGUGAGCAUUUUCUGUGGUUUGAACGGUUUGUUUCAACGCUGAUCGGUGUUUCGUUCGUUGAAUGCGCAAACGGUUUUCGCUCUGUCUAGAAAUAAAGGUCUGUUUAAUGAAGCUUUCAACAGUGAACAAUUACAGUGUUUUUGUGAGUAAUUACUUCUAACUUUAAUUAUUGAUCAGUGUUAAAAAGUACGGAAAAAAUAAAAGUUCCCAAUUGUGAUUAUUCGCCGUUUUUUAACUAGUGAAACUGCAGAAUAAGCAAAGCAAAGCCACAAAACGGAGUGAAAAAUAAACCCUCACAAGUUGCUGUUUGCUGGAUGGUGAUUUUUUUUCUUUUAUCUGACACAGAAGGCGGAUAGUGUGAGAAACACGAAAAACGGGUGGCUUGAUCGAGAAGCAGGAAUAAAGAAUACAAAAAAUAAUAUACACACACAGGAGAGAUGAAGAAGUGACGGGCACAAGUGUAGAGAAUCGGUACGCCUGAAUCAUGAUAAAUCGAUCCGAGCAUGCGCACCUGAGAAAACGAGUGAAUUUAUUCCACUGAAUCCGCGCCUACACAAUCGAUUGCGCGGGAUUAACAAAAAAUAUAUAUACAAAACGUGUUUUGAUUAUUGUUGUAACUGAAUGCAUGUGCAUGUGAUGCUUGUUUUUGGUGCGUUUCCCUGUACUUCGAUUCGCAGGAAGUUUACAUUAUUCCUCAGUGGCCUUAACUUGAGAGUGUAAGAAAAGUUAAAACGUCAAGCUCAGGGAAGUUCUAAAGUGAUAGAAAAGUGUAAUGUUCCAGUGAUCAAACGGAAAGCUGUGCUGAAUAUUCAUAACACCAAAUACGGUUGAAAUCUGCUAGUGAAAAUACGCUUUUUCUGUCGAAAAAAGUUUACAUUGAUUUACAAAUCGCUGGACGUCAUAGAAGGCAAUAGCUGAGUCGACUGGAGCUAAGCAGCAAAACAAAAAUUGAUAAUCUUCCAACGCCGAAUGAAAGAUGACAUAGAGGACGGCAGGUUUUCGAGUAACAGUGUGUGUGAGUGGUAGUCAGGUUGACACUAAUUAAGAGUGAUCAAACCCGGGCCGGACUAAACAAGAUUCAAAACUAGUUCACCGUUCAGCCGAGGGGCCUACACUGCCAUGUCUACUGCUAGUAUCUGGAUCGCUCGGGGCUGCUAAAGCCGCACUCGUUUUCCUGCAGCGAUUUUUUACAACCAAUAACCAUAAAAAUAACGUGCCACCGCAGUAGCAGAGAAACCAAUAAAAUGUAUCGUGUGUGAUAGGAAUUGUGCAGACGAAACAAAGAGAUCGCAAUCAAUUUUUUAGUCGGAUAUAAUUUACACACCAUCGGCAGCAGGAUGAUGGUUCUGAGCAGCACCCCAGCAGCGACGCUGAACAGGCACCUGACCCGAAUCGUAACCGUGCUGAUAGUGUUAAUUAGCUGCUCGUUAGAUAGGACCGACAGUUGGACACCAGAUGUCCUCACCAAGUCAUAUAUUACCUACGAUAACACGAUACCGGCCUUUUUCGGUAACAGCACUGAUUACUUUAAGCUGCUCCAUCAGGAUGACAGUUCGAUACUGAUCGGAGCGCGAAAUGCCUUGUACAAUAUCAGCCUCGAUAGGCUGAUUGAGAACGCGAACCAGCGAGUCACGUGGAGCUCUUCGGACGCUCACCGUGAGCUGUGUACACUCAAGGGCAAGCAGGACCAGGACUGCCAGAACUACAUUCGAGUGUACGCCCGGGUUGGGGCGAACAGAAUCAUGCUGUGUGGAACCAACUCGUACAAACCGCUCUGCCGGUAUUACAAUGUACUACCCAGCGAUGGGGCCAUAAUCUACGAUAGCAACGAAAUGGAAGCAUUGGGGCGGUGUCCGUACAAUCCACUCCAUAACAGCACAUAUGUUUAUACUGACGGUCACCUCUACUCAGCUACGGUGGCUGAUUUCUCCGGUGCCGAUCCGUUGAUCUACCGGGAACCACAGCGGACGGAACAGUAUGACAGCAAGCAGCUUAAUCAGCCGGCCUUCGUGAGUGCCGUGGAGCACAACGGAUAUGUGCUGUUCUUCUUCCGAGAAGUUGCCGUCGAGUACAUGAAUUGUGGCAAAGCAAUCUACUCACGCGUUAGCCGGGUUUGCAAAAAUGACAAGGGUGGACCGCACCCGCUAAACGACCGGUGGACGUCGUUCCUUAAAGCACGCCUGAACUGUUCCAUCCCCGGCGAUUAUCCGUUUUACUUCGAUGAAAUUCAAUCGACAACCAAAACCAUCAACGGCAUCUACGGAGGUCAAUCGAAUCAAAUCAUUUACGCAAUCAUGACUACCCCGGAGAAUGCGAUUGGUGGUUCGGCAGUGUGCGCGUUCUCCAUCCAGGAUAUUCUGGACACGUUUGAAGGUCCCUUCAAAUCGCAACGUGACAGCCAUUCCAACUGGUUGCAGGUACCCCAGAGUCAGGUACCGGAACCCCGACCCGGCAAGUGUGUUGACGACAGCCGAACUCUGCCUAAGGCAUCGGUUAAUUUCGUGAAAAUGAACACACUGAUGGAUAUGCCCGUACAAUCACUCCAUUCGCGACCGGUAUUCACCCGCGUUAGUCUGCUGUAUCGGCUGUCGGCCAUUACGGUGGACUCCCAGGUGAAGGCCCUUGAUGGCACCACUCACGACGUGGUUUUCGUUGGUACCAACGACGGAAAAGUUAUUAAGUUUGUCAACAUCCUAUCGGCUAACACAACGGAAGAUGUGAAAACCGUUGUUAUCAGUGAAACGCAAGCGUUUCCGCUAGGAAACAAAGUCAACGAAAUGACAAUAUCCAGAAAAAAUAAGAAAUUGAUUGUGAUCAGCAACGGAAAGAUCAUCUCGCUUCCGUUGAGCAAUUGCAACGAACACGAGUUUAAAUCCUGCCGUAAGUGUUUGGAACUGCAGGACCCGUACUGCGGCUGGGACGAUGUGAAUCGCGAAUGUCGUUCGGUGGAGGAUGCCCGCGUAAGCGGCCAUCCAAUUGAGAACCUAUUCCAACGGUUGGAUGGUACUGGUGUGAAUGAAAUUUGCAAAAAGUAUGACCAACGUGACCAGCGGCAGCACAAGGUGGAGGAUAACGACGUGUACACGCGGGUCGACGGAUCCGGCAGUGCGGAGAAGGAGAAAAGCAGCGAGACGAAAAACGUCGUCAUAAUUCAAUCCAGCAGGGGCACCGUGUCCUCGAUCGGACCGAGUGAUAUCGAUAACGAAAUACGCGAUAUGACCUCGAUCGAAGGAAGCGUGCUGACGAACAAAAUCGGCACUCAUCAGUAUCACCAUAAAACAGAUCCCUUCGUAAAGGAAAAUAUCGCUUCGGCAUCACUGAGAUGGGAAUUCACUAUCAUGCUGAUUUUGAUCGGAAUCCUUCUUGGCGGACUGUUUGGGGGUUUCGCCACCCAGCAAUAUAUGAAAAAGCAGCCCUUUCAUGGCAGCAGCGAGCAUCGAAAUCAGUUGAACUGCAGGCAUCCCGCUAAAAACUUGAGCAUGCUGUCGCAAAAUCGUACUAGCGGGAAGGACGUCAACCUGCUGAUGAAUACCACUAAUCAGUAUCACACGCAGCAUCAGGCCAUAGUGCAACAGCUGCAGCAGCAGCAGAACAAUAUGAAAGACAACAUCGACUUUGAUUACAAGGAUCGAAGCGUCGAGUGUAAGAAUUCGACCGAAAAUUUGGAAAAGGACAUCAGCAAAGGCAUGGGCACCCUGCAGAAGGUGAAGAAGACGUAUAUUUGAUAGUAAGAUAGUGCUUUCGGUGUUUGGGACAAAAUAACCGCUCGCUGUACUAGUGCUAGUGCGCAACUCCUUCAAAAUCUACAUACACAAAAAACAAACACAUUAUUCCCGAUAAUAACCUCUCUUGCGGCUUGUCCAAACGACAACCGCAGGAAUCAUACUACGAAAUUUCGACCGCCUCUACGAGAGUGUCACCGGCUGUACUCGUCAAAAUUAUUUCAUCUUCUGCCUGCGGAUUGUCUCUUCCUCUUCAACUAAAAGCGAUCUGCAACGGUAACAGACGCGACAGUUGAAAACAUUCAAGCCCUAGGGGCGCACUAUGUGAGAAACUUGUGACAGUUACGUAGCGAAUGUACUUUGUGACGAACACUGUCAGGAUUGCCUUCUAGUGUCUACACGUCUGUUUGUGUGCACUGUGUAAGUCGACAACAACAACAAAAAAAAAACCGAACCUAAAGGAUGGGAAAAGAAACGUCGUGUACAGAGAUGAUUUUUAUACAUUAGUGAGAGACUGCGUGCCUAGCACAAAUCAUUCCCCUACCUGCCUGCCAAAAGCCGUGCACGCGAACGAAUGCCUUUGCAAACCAUAAACUACGAAACCUGUGCCCAUUAUGUGCGCGCUGCGCACGGAGCUGUGUGCACUCGACAAUACGGGAUACGUGGGGGCCACUCCCGAUGGGGUCCCCCCAUUAGUAGUAGAACAGUGAUUAUCGAAUUGCCUUUAUCGAUGGACUGCUGAAUUAACUGUCAAAUGUUGCACUUCCAAUCAACAAGUCCACAUUCUUGAUGCCUUAUUUCCGCGUGCUGUCGCUUGUGCAAAAAAAAAAAUUCAACACAACUUUCCCGACCACUGUCUGGGAAAAACGCUCAUUCUUAUAACGCUAGUUGACGGAGGCCAGAUUUUCUCCCGUGUGCAAUAGGCAGAAAAAAAAAUUUAAAGUCAAAUGGUUCCCAAUUUCGUUUUACAUCGAGCCAAGCUCACGUUUGACAGCUGAUAAACAAAAGCAACCGCGACUCGCGAGGCAAAAUUAGGCCCCGCCUCCUUCCGUUUGGGCGUACGAGAUGCACACUACAUCUUUCAUUACAUUAAUGACUUAGAGAAUAGCCUCCCCUGUUGUUUAGCUGUUUUAGAUUUAGCAUAUCCGCUACGAUAGUUUCAAAUCCCAACAUUUGAACGCGCAAGUAUUACACAAUCAAAGUAGACAUUAACCAAGUGAAAUAAGCUCGCGACCGGGAGUUUCACGUUUCUCUAGACAAAAGCAUAUUAAGGCGUCUCAGCUAUAUUUUAAUUUUACGUUUACACAAUUUUACGUUUUAAUUGCUCAAGAAUCUCAAUCGAAAAUACUCCGACUACAGCAGUAUAUUAAACUGAUUACAAGCGGCAAACUGUGCAUGUAUUGAAUUGAAUUAUUCUCUAGUUGUUCGAUUUCUUGCAAUCAGUUUGAUUAUAGCCUUAGUUUAAAAAGGUAGUGCCCACUCAGAGAUAGCAAACCGAACAAAAAAGCAAUAUAUUGACCAUCAUCCAUCCAUUUUUAGAAAGUCACACAUUUUACCACCACCUUUUUUUCGGUUGUAGUGUAAAACGAAUUUUUCGCCAAAAUUUCACGUUAGGCUAUGUGAUUGUUUGUAAAAAUAACUCCUGAGCGGCAGAUUUUAUAUAUAUAUAUAUAUAUAUAUAUAUAUAUAUAUAUAUAUAUAUAUAUAUAUAUAUAUAUAUAUAUAUAUAUAUAUAUAUAUAUAUAUAUAUAUAUAUAUAUAUAUAUAUAUAUAUAUAUAUAUAUAUAUAUAUAUAUAUAUGCUUAGUUAAAUAUGAACAAAGAAUGUGAUAAACUGGAGUAUUUUUUUAUUUUUUGUAUUAUGCUAGAGCAAGUUUGAAGGUUUUAUUAUGUGUAAGGAAAUGACGAAUUCGAACAAACAUUAGGGACAGCAUUUUAUUUUUUAUCGAAUAUUGUGUGUGCAUCAUGAUGAGUCGUGUUAUUGAGAAUGAUGUUGUUGUUGAGACAAAUAAGUUAGAGCAUUGUUUGUGCUCAACCAGGCAUAAUCGAACGAAAAUUUGUUGCAGUAGAAUUAUAUCCAACGUAAGCGGAGAAUUUAAUGUUUUAGGUUAGAAAUAAAUAGGAAUAAUGGAAUGACGUAACUUAUCCAAUCACACGAAGUAUGUAAACGAAAGAGAGUUAUAAUAGAGUUUGUAAGGAUGUUAAUUGUACAAUUGUAAAUAUUUCAGUUAAGAUACAUUUACUAAGUAAUAAAGCUAGUGGAACAUUUA